rfam:Enterobacter sp. 638, complete genome.
AGUUUGCACUUAUCGGGAAGGGUGAGAACCUUCGUUAAGGUUCGACUCUUGCGAAGCAAGAGAACGUUGCCUCUGGCAACGGCCCGCAGGGUGAGGAGCGAAGCGACGAAUAAUCCUUCCCCCACCACCC